rnacentral:rRNA from 1 species
AAUAGAUACCCAGGUAGUCCACCCCGUAAACGUUGGAACUAGUUGUGGGGUCCAUUCCACGGAUUCCGUGACGCAGCUAACGCAUUAAGUUCCCCGCCUGGGGAGUACGGCCGCAAGGCUAAAACUCAAAGGAAUUGACGGGGACCCGCACAAGCGGCGGAGCAUGCGGAUUAAUUCGAUGCAACGCGAAGAACCUUACCAAGGCUUGACAUAUACGAGAACGGGCCAGAAAUGGUCAACUCUUUGGACACUCGUAAACAGGUGGUGCAUGGUUGUCGUCAGCUCGUGUCGUGAGAUGUUGGGUUAAGUCCCGCAACGAGCGCAACCCUCGUUCUAUGUUGCCAGCACGUAAUGGUGGGAACUCAUGGGAUACUGCCGGGGUCAACUCGGAGGAAGGUGGGGAUGACGUCAAAUCAUCAUGCCCCUUAUGUCUUGGGCUUCACGCAUGCUACAAUGGCCGGUACAAAGGGCUGCAAUACCGCGAGGUGGAGCGAAUCCCAAAAAGCCGGUCCCAGUUCGGAUUGAGGUCUGCAACUCGACCUC